rfam:Myotis davidii contig174984, whole genome shotgun sequence.
UUAUGAUCUAACUAGAGGCUGGUACAUGAAUUCAUGUACAUUGAAAGGAAAUUAAUCAAAAAGGAGCCCAGAGUGACAGUUUUCCUUGAAGGUCACCAUGCUGUUUGCUGUAACCGAUCUGCAACAUUUCAGGAAAAGACAGUU